GCGACAGGUAAAUGCUAAUGUUUAAAACCCUUAAAAAUAUACUAAACACACUCUCUAGCUUGGUCCUUAAUGCCCGUUUCAGGUGAGUGUAGGUUCCUCCUAAAAUGUGCUGAUCUGUUCAUUGUAGGUCAUCCAACCCUACAUUACUGGCCUGGAGACAGAGUUGAAAAGGAGGUUCCAGGAACUGGACAUCCUUGGAGCCUUCCAUGUCCUGAGACCUCAGUCGGCUUCCCUCCCUGACAGUGUGUCCAUUGCACAGCUGCAGACUCUGGCAAAACAAUUCUGUCCAGACCAAGAGAAGGUGCUCCUCCAAGGUUUUCGUUCAAAAACCAUCUCAUUACAGGGUCAUUACAGAACAAGAGCCAGGAGGAGCUCCUGACUCUGCUGGCGAGUGAGUACGAUGAGUGGUUAGACCUCUACCCCUGCAUCAGUCUCCUUGCCAGCAUUGCCCUGAUUGUCCCAGUCUCUUCGGUGAAUUGCGAGCGGGAUUUCUCCGCUAUGAAUAGGAUAAAAACAGACCUCAGGAACAGGCUUCAAGGGGAACACCUGGCAGCCUGCUUAAGAAUUGCCAUAAAUGGGCCAGAACCGAAUGAGGUCCCUUAUGAUCGGGCCCUUGAGUUCUUUUUCAGGAACCCACGUAGGAUCAAGUGUUCUGAUGGGGCAUGCAAGCUUUGCAUAUAAGGGAUAAUGCAGUUUUAUUAUUUUAGGUAGUUGUUGUAAUUAGUAGUAUUGUUGUUAAAUAUUGGUUCAGUUAGGUCUUGGGUUUAUUUGUUAUUGAAAUAAAGACCUCCAGCUUUAGUUGUCUGUUGCAAUUCAUUCAUUGAAUGUCAGUUAAAAACUAAACUCGUGCACCGCGUCGCGUCGCGUUGCCGUCGCACGCACACCUGCGUCGCACCGCGUCGACGUCGCACGCGGUCCACAAUGGAUUUCUAGUCCAUCACCUUAACCACACAGUUUCGAC